UACGGAGGGUGCGAGCGUUAUUCGGAAUCACUGGGCGUAAAGGGCGCGUAGGCGGCCUGGUAAGUCAGGGGUGAAAUCCCACGGCUCAACCGUGGAAUUGCCUUUGAAACUGCUGGGCUUGGAUCCUGGAGAGGGUGGCGGAAUUCCUGGUGUAGGAGUGAAAUCCGUAGAUAUCAGGAGGAACACCGGUGGCGAAGGCGGCCAUCUGGCUGAUAACUGACGCUGAGGUGCGAGAGCGUGGGGAGCAAACAGG
rnacentral:rRNA from 1 species